CACCCCAAAAACUAUCUCUCUCUCUCUCUCUCUCUCUCUCUCUCUUUGUGCCAAUAAAGCCUUCGAGAAUCGGGGGCCACCGUUGACUCCGUUCCCCACUGCCAAUCUCGAAUUCUUUGUCGACCGAAACCCACUCCCGAUCUCGGAUUCCUCGUCGACCGAAACCACUUCGUGGUCCUUGCAUUGACAGCGAUGCUAGUUUUUCAAGCGAUAUGAAACACACGAAAAAGCGAUAUGAAACACUCUGACAGCGGUAAUGGUUCAACUUCUUGGACUUCAAGAGCAAAAGACCAAGCUGAUUUGGAGAGACCAGUUUUAUUAUCGUCAUGGUUCUGUUUUGUUAUGAUUUGUGCUGUAAUUAUUUUGUAUUAAAUUUUGUAAUCCAAACUAGUACUUUUGGAAUGUAUCUACAUCUUUUUAAAUGUAAUGAAAGACUGAAUGUACUUCUCCAGUAUGUAAUGCUAAUGUUUUGUAAUGUAAUGAGCAUUAUGUUAAAGUUCCAA